GCAGCAAGUUGGUUUGUCGCUAUCAAGUAAUUGGUAGAGGAAAGUCCGGGCAACACAGAGCACCAUACUUCCUAACGGGAAGCUGUUCGCGAGGGUAGAGUAGUAUAACAGAAAAUAACCGCUCCGACUUGUCGGAGUAAGGGUGAAAAGGUGGGGUAAGAGCCCACCGGGAGCUUUGGCAACAAGGCUUGCCGUAUGCCUUAUGGGUUGUAAGAUCAUGUAUACCGACGUAUGUAGGACUGCUCGUCCGAUGUCGGGGGGUAGAUCGCUUGAGGCAAAUGGUGACAUUUGCACUAGAUAAAUGGCAAACGGUUCGCGUUUACGCGAAUUACAGAACCCGGCUUAUAAACUUGCUGCAUUC
rnacentral:RNase_P_RNA from 1 species